UCACCGAGGCGAUUGAAAAUGCUCCUCUGCUCGGUGUCCGUUCUUUGAGGACGUCGGCAGAGAGAAAUCCAAAAGCAGAAUAGAUAAUGUAAAAACAUUAAAUAAAUGGGUACCUUGUACCGUGUGCGUCCUUGCGCCGAGGCGACUGAAGACGCUUCUCUGCUCGGACUCCAUUCUUUGGGGACGUUGGCAGAGAAAUCCAAGAAUAGAAU
rnacentral:lncRNA from 1 species